UUAACUCAGAUUUGUAUGGAGUUUAACGUUUGGCUACGUUUGCCGCUAGGGCCGCUGUUCUAACUGCAUACAAAUUCGAGUUA
rnacentral:pre_miRNA from 1 species